rnacentral:lncRNA from 1 species
UUCGAUGGAGUUUUUGCACCUGUUGCUAGGAUCAAAACAAUCAGGUUGGUCGUUGGUCUAUAAAACAUGAACAACUAGAAUAUGUGUCAGAUGGGUGGGAAACGUGAACAACAUGAACAAGAAAGCAAGGUAUACAGUCUAUAUAAAGACAUGUAUGGACUUAAGCGAGCUCCAAGAGUUGGAAUAAGAAAAUAGACAACUUUCUAAGGGUGAAGGAAUUUGUAAAGCGCACAACUGAGCAUUGAGUAUAUGCAAGAAGAAGCAAUAGUGAAA